rnacentral:rRNA from 1 species
UACGUAGGUGGCAAGCGUUGUCCGGAUUUAUUGGGUUUAAAAGGGUGCGUAGGCGGCCCCUGUAAGUCAGUGCUGAAAUAUCCCGGCUUAACCGGGAGGGUGGCAUUGAUACUGCGGGGCAGAGUACAGAUGAGGUAGGCGGAAUUGACGGUGUAGCGGUGAAAAUGCUUAGAUAUCGUCAAGAACACCUAUGCGAAGGCAGCUUACUAGGCUGUAACUGACGCUGAGGCACGAAAGUGUGGGGGAUCAAACAGG